rnacentral:tRNA from 1 species
GCCGGAUUAGCCCAACGGCAGAGGCACAGCGCUAAGGACGCUGAUAGUUUCGGUUCAAAUCCGAAAUCCGGUACCA